rnacentral:rRNA from 1 species
UUUUAAAUGGCCGCAGUAUUUUGACUGUGCAAAGGUAGCAUAAUCAUUAGUUUUUUAAUUAAAAGCUUGUAUGAAAGGCUGGACGAGGUAAAAUCUGUCUCUAUUUAAAUUAUAGUAGAAUUUAACUUUUAAGUUAAAAGGCUUAAAUAUUAUUAAAAGACGAGAAGACCCUAUAGAUCUUUAUAGUUUAUUAAAUUAAAUUAAUUUAGAAAUAUUAAUGUUUUAUUUAAUUAAAUUAUUUUAUUGGGGUAAUAAAAAGAUUGAAUUAAUUCUUUUUUACAAUAAACAUUAAUUUAUGAAUAUUAAUGAUCCAGUUUUACUGAUUAUAAGAUUAAGUUACCUUAGGGAUAACAGCGUAAUUUUUUUAGAGAGUUCAUAUCGAUAAAAAAGUUUGCGACCUCGAUGUUGGAUUAAAGAUUAUUUUAGGUGUAGAAGCUUAAUAAUUUUGGUCUGUUCGACCAUUAAAUCUUUACAUGAUCUGAGUUCAGACCGGCGUAAGCCAGGUCGGUUUCUAUCUUUAAUAAAAUAAAAUAUUUUAGUACGAAAGGACCAAAUAUUUGAUAUAUUUAUAUUUAAUUUAUUGAAUAUUA